UUAGCUGGUUGGUGAGGUAACGGCUCACCAAGGCGACGAUCAGUAGCCGGCUUGAGAGAGUGAACGGCCACAUUGGGACUGAGACACGGCCCAAACUCCUACGGGAGGCAGCAUG
rnacentral:rRNA from 1 species